ACCAUUUGUUUGCCGGUACUUGAUGAAUAAGCCCCGGCUAAUUAUGUGCCAGCAGCCGCGGUAAGACAUAAGGGGCAAGUGUUAUCCGGAAUUAUUGGGCGUAAAGGGUGCGUAGGCGGUCUAGUAAGUCAGUGGUGUAAUGGCAACGCUUAACGUUGUCCGGCUAUUGAAACUGCUAAACUUGAGUUAGAUAGAGGCGAGUGGAAUUCCAUGUGUAGCGGUAAAAUGCGUAAAUAUAUGGAGGAACACCAGAGGCGUAGGCGGCUCGCUGGGUCUUAACUGACGCUGAGGCACGAAAGCGUGGGGAGCAAACAGGAUUAGAUACCCUGGUAGUCCACGCCGUAAACGAUGAGUACUAGGUGUCGGGUUAAACCGGUACUGAAGUUAGCACAUUAGGUACUCCGCCUGAGUAGUACGUACGCAAGUAUGAAACUUAAAGGAAUUGACGGGACUCCGCACAAGCGGUGGAUCAUGUUGUUUAAUUCGAAGAUACCCGAAAAACCUUACCAGGUCUUGACAUGUUUUUGCAAAAUGAUAGUAAUAUCGUGGAGGUUACCAGAAACACACGUGGUGCAUGGUUGUCGUCAGCUCGUGUCGUGAGAUGUUAGGUUAAGUCCUAAAACGAGCGAAACCCUUAUCGUUAG
rnacentral:rRNA from 1 species